UUUGAUUUAGGAUUUAGGAUUUGAUUAGGAUUUGGAUUAGGAUUUGGUUUAGGAUUUGAUUAGGGUUUUAUUUAGGAUUUAGAAUUUAAUUAGGAUUUGAUUUAGGAUUUAAGAUUUAGUUAGGGUUUGGUUUAGGGUUUAGGAUUUGGAUUAGGGUUUGAUUUAGGGUUUAGGAUUUGGUUAGGAUUUGCUUUAGGAUUUGAUUGUGGUUUGGUUCAAGGUUUAUUUAAGGUCUGAUUUAGGGUUUAGGAUUUUAUUAAGAUUUAAGAUUUAAUUAGUUUUGGCCUAAAGUUUGAAUGAAGUUCAAUAGGAUUUUAACUAGAAUUAAAUUAAGAUUAAAUUGAGAUGUAUUUGAGUGAUAUUUGUGUUCCUUCUAAUAUUUCUUUCAGAAUUCUUAUUAUUUGUUUGAAAUUUCUUUGAGGUUUUUUUGAAUUUGAUUAAUCUUGUUUAACAUUAUUAUGAUCUAAUUAGAGCAUUAUUAGUAUUCUAUUAGAAUUAGGAUUAUUUUAUUACAAUUUUCAUUCUUCUUUCCACAGCCAGGUGCCAAGAGCAUUUUCAAGCAAGUCUUCACGUAUCACAACAACGUCGACUUCAAUCUAAGACUUCUUUCACUUCAAACUCUUCAUUAUU
rnacentral:lncRNA from 1 species